rnacentral:rRNA from 1 species
UUUUUUAAUUGAAAACUUGUAUGAAUGGUUGAACGAAAUAUUAACUGUCUCAUAAAAAUUUUAAUAGAACUUUACUUUUUAGUUAAAAGGCUAAAAUUUAAUUAAAGGACGAGAAGACCCUAUAGAGUUUUAUAAUAUAAUAAUUAUAAUUUAUAAAGAAUAUUUAAAAUUUUAUUUAUUAAUAUUAUUUUGUUGGGGUGACAAUAAAAUUUAAAAAACUUUUAUUAUUUUUUUACAUUGAUUUAUGAAUUAUUGAUCCAGUUUUAUUGAUUAAAAAAUUAAAUUACCUUAGGGAUAACAGCGUAAUUUUUUUUUAGAGUUCAUAUCGAUAAAAAAGAUUGC